rnacentral:rRNA from 1 species
GACGAACGCUGGCGGCGUGCUUAACACAUGCAAGUCGAACGAAGAGCGAUGGAAGCUUGCUUCUAUCAAUCUUAGUGGCGAACGGGUGAGUAACGCGUAAUCAACCUGCCCUUCAGAGGGGGACAACAGUUGGAAACGACUGCUAAUACCGCAUACGAUCUAAUCUCGGCAUCGAGGAAAGAUGAAAGGUGGCCUCUAUUUAUAAGCUAUCACUGAAGGAGGGGAUUGCGUCUGAUUAGCUAGUUGGAGGGGUAACGGCCCACCAAGGCGAUGAUCAGUAGCCGGUCUGAGAGGAUGAACGGCCACAUUGGGACUGAGACACGGCCCAGACUCCUACGGGAGGCAGCAGUGGGGAAUCUUCCGCAAUGGACGAAAGUCUGACGGAGCAACGCCGCGUGAGUGAUGACGGCCUUCGGGUUGUAAAGCUCUGUUAAUCGGGACGAAAGGCCUUCUUGCGAACAGUUAGAAGGAUGA